rnacentral:pre_miRNA from 1 species
AGGAGGAACAACCGCAGUGGCAGGGUCAGCUCUGGAAACCUGGAGUCAGCUCCCGCAGUAGCUAGGAGCUCUCGGUCUGCAGGGCCUGGAGGCUCCGGGGCGGG